rfam:Nicotiana attenuata strain TT chromosome 10, whole genome shotgun sequence.
CCCCGAAAACCUAAGGGUUUCUCCGCAGGUUUCGUCCACGGAGGGUGAGUUCAGGGCCUAAGAUCAGGCGAAAGGCGAGUCGAAUGGACCAACAGGCUGAAUAUUCCUGUACUGUGCCUGCCUUGUUGGUCCGAGGACGGAGAGGCUAGGUUAGCCGAAAGAUGGUUUAUCGGUUCAAGAACGUAAGGUGUCACCCUGCUUUGUCAGGGUAAGAAGGGGGUAGAGAAAAUGCCUCGAGCAAUGUUUUCGAAUACCAGGCGCUACGGCGCUAGAGUAACCCAUGCCAUACUCCAGGAAAAAGCUCGAACGACUUUGGAGCAAGAGGGUAACCUGUAACCCGAAACCGAGCACAGGUGGGUAGGUAGAGGAAUUACCUAGGGGCGGCAGAGAACACCGUCUCUAUUAGGAACUUCGGCAAGAAUAGCCCCGUAACAUUUCGGAGAAGGGGUGCCAGUCCUCACAAAGGGGGUACGCAGUGACCAGGUGCCCGGGCGUACUGUUUUACCAAAACACAGGUCUCUCGCAAGUCGUUAAGACCAUGUAUGGGGGGCUGACGCCUGCCCGGGUGCCCGGAAGGUCAAGGAAGUUGGUUGACCUGAUGCAGGGAGCCGGCACCGAAGCCUCCGGUGAACGGGCGGCCGUAACUGAUUAGACGGUCCUUAAGGUAACGCGAGAAAUUCCUUGUUCGGGUAAGUUUUCCGACCCGACGAAAAAGGCCCGUAACGAUCUGGCAUUGUCUCGGAGAGAGGCUAAUCGGUGAAAUAGACAUGUCUGUGAAGAUUGCCGGACUAUCCUGCACUGGAUCAGAUAAGCCUAUGAGAGGCUUUCGUACUGUUCCCUGGGAUUGGCUUUUGGGCCUUCCUGCGUCAGCUUAGGUGGAAGGCGAUAGAUAUGCCCUCCUUCCGGGGUGGCUCCGAAGCCAUCAGUGAGAUACCGUCUCUGGAAGGCUUAGAAUUCUAACCUUGUGUCAGUGUAUUACCCUACGGGCCAAGGGAAUACAUGUUCUCAUGGUAGACAGUUUCUAUGUGGCGUUAGGCCUCCCAAAAUGGUUAACGGAGUCGUGCAAGGUUCCUCGGGCCGGACGGAGAUUGGCCUGAGUGCCAAAGGCAGAAGGGAGCUUGACUGCAAACCACCCGUCGAGCAGGGACGAAAAAGUCGGCCUUGGAUGCCGACGGUGCCGGAGUUGGAAGUGGCUCCUGUCCUGCUCAAACGGAUAUUAAUUAUAUCUCUAGGGAUGAUACUGAGGCUGAAUCUUCCCAAGUAGCUCCUCAUCGACGGGAAGGAUUGCACCUUUCUAUGUCGGCUCUUCUUUCGUCCACCUGGGGUUUGUUAUCUUUUUGUGUUUUUUUUUUUUUUUUUUUUUUGUUUUUCUUUAUAUUUUUUUUUUUUUUUUUUCUGUUAGUUAUGUUCCAAAGGGUUGGGCUUGUUCGCCAAUUAAUUAGGUCUGGUACGUGAGCCUGGGUUCAGAACCGUCCCAGUGAGACAGUUUCGGUCAUAUAUCCGGAUUGUGGGCGGUUUGAGCAUUGAGAGGACUUCCCUAGUACGAGAGGACCGGGAAGGAACGCACCUCUGGUGUACCAGUUAUCGUGCCCACGGUAAUCGCUGGGUAGCCAAGUGCGGAGCGGAUAACUCGUGAAAGCAUCUAAAGUAGUAAGCCCACCCCAUUUAGAUGAGGUUGCUCUCCUAUUCCGACUUCCCCAGAGC